AUUUUCUCAUUUUAUGAGUGAUAGUAAGUGUUCUUAUUUUUCCGGAAAUGUUAUGAGGUAAAAUGCAAAAAGUGAGUGUAGAAAAAUAAAAGAGACCAAGAUGUAUUCUAGUCUCCCUUUUCAAACAAGAGUACGUCUAGUCCUCUCAAAUCCCGUAAGAGAUUUUUAAUAUGUUAGAAGAGUGGGAGAAAUUAGAUUAAUUGGUCUUUUUGAAAUUUUCUCAUUUUAUGAAUGAUAGUAAGUGCUCUUAUUUUUCCGGAAACGUUAUGAACAGUAAAAUGCAGAAAGUAAGUGCAGAAAAAUAAAAGACACCAAGAUGUAUACUUGUUCCCCUUUCCAAAAAGGGGUUCAUCUAG
rnacentral:lncRNA from 1 species